GUCCUUUGUCCAGGAACAUUUCUUUAAAGGCCCUCCCCGGGCUCUCCUAACCCCACUGUCAGAGCACCUCUGCAGGUGCACCUGUCCAACCCAGCUUGUCCUGUCUGCAUUUGGGUGAUGAGCGCCUGCAUCUGAUCACUGUGCGAUCCAGCUCCAGCACACUCACUCCUCGUCUAGCUCUAUUCUUUGCUGCCGACACUCACAGCCGUCUGGCCAGCAGCACCAGGCUGGGCCCGCAUGGCCUGCUUGAGGGCCAGGCCAGAACUUCCACAGCUCCAUGGCCACGGCACCAGCCUGCAAGCGAAGGCGAAGCUGGGAGAGAUCCUGCUGACCUCCAGCCCCUGGCUCAUCCCGAAAGCCUCCAUUGCAGGCGCCCCCUCCUCUGAACUCCCAGCCAGCAACUCUCCCAGAAACAGGAUGGCUGACAGCAGAGUUCUACAUCCACAGGCCUCCUGUGCUCCUUGGAACCGCCAGGAGCAGUGGGCUGCCUGCAUCGCAUGGUGUGUUUGAGGAGGCGUGCCCAGAGCGGGCAAGGGACUGACUCCAAGGACGCAGAGGGGGGGCCAGCCCUGAGCGGCUUGUGGUCUACGAUUCCACCACUGAAGAAUCAAUUGCAAUUACUGCUGCUGCCCGCCCCAGCACCCCUAGCACUGCCCCCCCCAGUAUCAGCACCCCCAGCACCCCUGCAACACCAGGACCACUCACACCCUUCCUACUAUUCAACCAAGAGCGGUGGCAAGGUCUGUGCCCCUGUAGGCACCUCAGGUGGGAGAACGCCUCUGACUCAGGUACUCGGGGCUUGGGAUGAAGUAGGUGGUGUGUCUGUCUUUUAGAUCGAGACCCCCAAGGCCCAGAAUACUGAGCGACUUCCUAGGAGGUCAGAGCUGGGAAUGUGACCAGUCUUCUGCCUGGUCACAUUCCCAGUCUUAAACCAGGGCCAGGGAAGAUAAGAAGGGAUUCUCAUUCUCCCCCAGUAGAUGGAGGCCAUCGUGUAUCACGGCUCAGGGAUGCUGGCCUGGGGACCUCUGGGGACCUCUGGGGACAAGGAGGAGGAGUCUGACCUCUGCAAAGCCAAAGCUGGCUUUGGUGCUCACCUCCCUCACCAGGAAGGCCUCCAAGGUCUGCAUUGACCAUACUCGGAUCAAACUCUGAUGGCCCAGCGCACCCAGGACAGGAGUGACAGGACCUGCCCAGCCAGGAAGCCAGCCAAAUCACACCUCACAAGCUGCAUCUAUCCCAAGAGGGAGGCCCCCAUGUCAUGUUUCCCAACACCACUGCUGACGCCAAAUGUGUGGGGUUUCUCCCACACACACCAAUGAACUCUCCAUCUCUCUAGAGGCCAACUGGGUGUCCUCCCAUCUGACUCAAUUCUGUCACUAACGACCUGAGUUAGCACAGAUCCCAUAGUUUAAACACUUAGUCUGACCAAACUGCCCCCCUUUACACAGCAGGUGCAAUCUUAGGCCUCCUUGUACUUUGGACUGACCAUCUAGAGGUGCUGGAAGUUCCCAUGAUCCCCUUCUCAGAUUCAUAAUUUGCCAGAUGGCUCCCAGAACUCAGGGAAACUGAUCAGUAUCAGUAUAUGAUACAGAUUGUUGUACAGGAUACAGAUGAACAGCCAGAGGAUCAAAAAAGAAAUAAAAGAAAGUAAAACAAAAACUUAGUUUUUCAUUGAUCUGAUAACAAUGUGUUCAAAAUAGUAAUAGCAACAACAUAUUUGGUAUGUGUAUGCUUGUGUAUAAAUGAAACGAAUAAUAGCAAUGAUAUAAGGACAGGAAAGAAGUGUGAUUAUUUUUUUAAAAGGUAAUCACAGUAUUUGUGACAGUGCACUUUUAUUUGAAAGUGGACUUGGA